rnacentral:rRNA from 1 species
UACAGAGGUCUCAAGCGUUGUUCGGAUUCAUUGGGCGUAAAGGGUGCGUAGGCGGCGCGGUAAGUCGGGGUGUGAAAUCUUGGAGCUUAACUCCGAAACUGCAUUCGAUACUGCCGUGCUUGAGGACUGGAGAGGAGACUGGAAUUUACGGUGUAGCGGUGAAAUGCGUAGAUAUCGUAAGGAAGACCAGUGGCGAAGGCGGGGUCUCUGGACAGUUCCUGACGCUGAGGCACGAAGGUCAGGGGGAGCAAACGGGG